CUUUCUGUUCCUACAUUUUCAAUCCAAAGAGGCCCUGCAAUCCUGCAUAUGGAGAUACACGGAGCAGUGACCUCAAAAAAAAAAAGAUACACGAAGCAGUGAAUAUGAAAUCUACACUCUGUUUUCCAAGUUUGGAAACUUAACAUCUAGAAUUACAAGAUCCAGAAGUGAUUUUAGUGAAGAUUUGCUAUUUUUUCAUCUAAACGAUUUUGCUAUUUCUUGUCAUUCAGGAGGUUUAUCAUCUGCCAGCAAAGAAUUACCGCAAAUCCUGAAAGUCAUACUAUUUUCAAGGGAGC
rnacentral:lncRNA from 1 species